rnacentral:rRNA from 1 species
GGCACCUUCGGUGUCCGAGUUGUAAUUUGAAGAUUGUAACCUUGGGGUUGGCUCUUGUCUAUGUUUCUUGGAACAGGACGUCACAGAGGGUGAGAAUCCCGUGCGAUGAGAUGCCCAAUCCUAUGUAAGGUGCUUUCGAAGAGUCGAGUUGUUUGGGAAUGCAGCUCUAAGUGGGUGGUAAAUUCCAUCUAAAGCUAAAUAUUGGCGAGAGACCGAUAGCGAACAAGUACAGUGAUGGAAAGAUGAAAAGAACUUUGAAAAGAGAGUGAAAAAGUACGUGAAAUUGUUGAAAGGGAAGGGUUUGAGAUCAGACUCGAUAUUUUGUGAGCCUUGCCUUCGUGGCGGGGUGACCCGCAGCUUAUCGGGCCAGCAUCGGUUUGGGCGGUAGGAUAAUGGCGUAGGAAUGUGACUUUGCUUCGGUGAAGUGUUAUAGCCUGCGUUGAUGCUGCCUGCCUAGACCGAGGACUGCGAUUUUAUCAAGGAUGCUGGCAUAAUGAUCCCAAACCGCCCGUCUG